GAUAGUUAUCUUGGAUUGAAGCAUUGGCAAAUUCGAAAAUUAUGAUAUUUUUUAAUUUUAUUUGUUUAUUCAUCUUUUCAGUAUCAUUCACUGUAAUGAGCUCCGCCCAGUCCGUUCCACAACCAGACUUCCGACGAUCUGCACUGCGAGCCGUCCACCACCACACAGCACCAACACAAAACUGGCGCUGCCACCAGUUGUCCACGGCUCGCCUCCCGAUCUCUGCCGAAGUCCAAAUUCCUCCCGAUCUCUGCCGAAGUUGUCCACGGCUUGCCUCCCAAAUUUCAACACCCAGCCGCAGCACCGGUCUCUGCCUCACCGUUCACAGCCCCGCUCCAUCCGGUUCAUACACAUCCGUUCACGCCAGAUUUUCAAGGGUUAUUUUGUGGAGAACAAGUGUUGUGUUUGGUUACAGGUUUUGAUUUAACUUUAUUUUGGUGUGCAGAUAUUCCUAUUCUAGUUUAGGAAUAUGAUAUCUUGGUUUAGCUAUUAGACCUAGAUUUGUUUGGUUACAGGAUUUAGUUAAUACUUAUUCUAGUUUUCUGUAAUCUACGACUAGGCUAUUCCUUCAAAUAAAAAAAAAAAAAGUAAGGAGAGGAGUAGGACUGGGCAAAAACCCGCCCAACCCGCAGAUCCAACCCGGCCCGGCCCGUGCGGGUUUAGUGUUUAUUUUCGCGAGAUCGGGUUGGAAAUAUCCAACCUGUGCAGGGUGGGACGGGUUUCGGGUUUACUAAUAUUUUCUAUGCGAGUACCCGCCCUGACCCACACUUAAGGUUCUAAAACACAAAAAAAAAAACCCUAGACUUAAGAGACCGUCAGACCCAUUUGAUUUCGCCGCCCACAACCCAAGGCCGAGAAGGAAAGGAGAUCACGGAAGAUGAUCGCGAGAUUGACGAUGCUAUUAUGCCCAUUCCACCGCCUGAACUAGGGCGGAAGGAAUAGCACAGCCUCUCUCCUGAUCGUGAUAGCACCAGAAAGAGGGAAUCACGAGAGAUUGGGCCAUUCUCGGCUUUUUAUUUUCGACUUCCUCUGUUCCUCUCUCCCAGCAAGCAAGACGAGAUCACCGAAAAAAUGACACAACGGCCGAGCACAUAGAGUCGAGAAAGCGAGAGAGGGAAAGAAAUUCUGACCUCGAUAUGUGGGUACGUGAUGGAGAACGUAGACAUGGUAGUGGCCUGGCAGGAGGAAAAGAAGAAAAUGAAGGAGAAACCGUUUCUCUUCGAUCUAAAUCAGCCUGCGCCGCUUUUCUGAGCCGACGGAGACGAGGUUUCUGGUUGUGUUGGACUGUGGGGCUGUUCAAGCACUUUGGAAAAGCACCAAGCUUUGAAAAAUUGCCCUGAUGUGCAAGAAAUACAAACCAUUUUGCUGGACCACCUACGUGGUGUUGAUAAGGACUUGUCCGUGUCCAAGGAAAAGAGGGCAUGACUCUUUUUCAUUACGUAGCUCAGACGGGAAACGUCAAGUUUUUGAGCAAAUUCUGGUUAGAUUGCCCCAUGUCUAUAAAAGAUGUAACAAUUAGAGGAGACACUGCUCUUCAUAUUGCGUUGAAUAACAACCAACUAGAAGCUUUUUGGUUUCU